AUUCCAGCUCCAAUAGCGUAUAUUAAAGUUGUUGCAGUUAAAACGCUCGUAGUCGGAUUUCGGGGCGGGCCGACCGGUCUGCCGAUGGGUAUGCACUGGCCGGCGCGUCCUUCCACCCGGAGACCGCGCCUACUCUUAACUGAGCGGGCGCGGGAGACGGGUCUUUUACUUUGAAAAAAUCAGAGUGUUUCAAGCAGGCAGUCGCUCUUGCAUGGAUUAGCAUGGGAUAAUGAAAUAGGACUCUGGUGCUAUUUUGUUGGUUUCGAACACCGGAGUAAUGAUUAAUAGGGACAGUCGGGGGCAUUUGUAUUCAGACGACAGAGGUGAAAUUCUUGGACCGUUUGAAGACAAACUACUGCGAAAGCAUUUGCCAAGAAUGUUUUCAUCA
rnacentral:rRNA from 1 species